UACGUAGGGACCGAGCGUUGUCCGGAAUCAUUGGGCGUAAAGAGCGUGUAGGCGGCCUUUUAAGUCCUGCGUGAAAUCCUGCGGCUCAACCGCAGACGGUCGUGGGAAACUGGAAGGCUAGAGUCCGGGAGAGGAGAGUGGAAUUCCUGGUGUAGCGGUGAAAUGCGCAGAUAUCAGGAAGAACACCCGUGGCGAAAGCGGCUCUCUGGAACGGUACUGACGCUGAGACGCGAAAGCGUGGGGAGCGAACAGG
rnacentral:rRNA from 1 species